GGUGCUAUACUUUAAAAAAAAGGUUUGUGUUGCAUGUAAAUAAUAAGAAAAAUUCUUUAGCGCCG
rnacentral:tRNA from 1 species